rnacentral:rRNA from 1 species
GCGAACAAGGUGCUUGCUCCUUUGACGUUAGCGGCGGACGGGUGAGUAACACGUGGGUAACCUACCUAUAAGACUGGGAUAACUUCGGGAAACCGGAGCUAAUACCGGAUAAUAUUUCGAACCGCAUGGUUCGAUAGUGAAAGAUGGUUUUGCUAUCACUUAUAGAUGGACCCGCGCCGUAUUAGCUAGUUGGUAAGGUAACGGCUUACCAAGGCGACGAUACGUAGCCGACCUGAGAGGGUGAUCGGCCACACUGGAACUGAGACACGGUCCAGACUCCUACGGGAGGCAGCAGUAGGGAAUCUUCCGCAAUGGGCGAAAGCCUGACGGAGCAACGCCGCGUGAGUGAUGAAGGUCUUCGGAUCGUAAAACUCUGUUAUUAGGGAAGAACAUACGUGUAAGUAACUAUGCACGUCUUGACGGUACCUAAUCAGAAAGCCACGGCUAACUACGUGCCAGCAGCCGCGGUAAUACGUAGGUGGCAAGCGUUAUCCGGAAUUAUUGGGCGUAAAGCGCGCGUAGGCGGUUUUUUAAGUCUGAUGUGAAAGCCCACGGCUCAACCGUGGAGGGUCAUUGGAAACUGGAAAACUUGAGUGCAGAAGAGGAAAGUGGAAUUCCAUGUGUAGCGGUGAAAUGCGCAGAGAUAUGGAGGAACACCAGUGGCGAAAGCGACUUUCUGGUCUGUAACUGACGCUGAUGUGCGAAAGCGUGGGGAUCAAACAGGAUUAGAUACCCUGGGUAGUCCACGCCGUAACGAUGAGUGCUAAGUGUUAGGGGUUUCCGCCCCCUUAGUGCUGCAGCUAACGGCAUUAGCAACCUCCGCCUGGGAGUUACGACCUGCAGUUGGAACUCAAGUAUGAACCGGACCCCGCA